rnacentral:lncRNA from 1 species
UACGGGAUAGAGAUCAACCUAACAAAAGUCCCUACGGCCAAGUGCAGAAUUGCAAGCAGAACAGAAGCAUGCUAGAUACUGUAGUACUUCCUAGUAGUAGCUAGGUAGCAUUAAACACAAAGCAUGCAUAAAACAACACACGAUGAAGUAGAAGAGAACUGAUGAUGAACUGGCCGUUUCCAUCAUAGUACAAGCAGAUCCCAGAAUGCAUGCUACUAGCUCCACGUCCGUGUCCGUACGUCUUCCUCCGGCGCAGGUCCGCUCCACAGCAAGCCUUCUUCCACGGGACGCCGACAGAAUCGUCGAGGACCACCACCUAGGCAAAGACAUCCGGCCGGCAGAUUAGCCCGGACGGUACAAGCACAACCAACACAGACCCC